rnacentral:rRNA from 1 species
CUCCAUAGUUCGUGCUGACUGGAAUGUUAUGCGAACGAAAGAUCCGUCGCUUCAGGAUGAGUCUGCGGCCGAUUAGGUAGUUGUUGGGGUAACGGCCCAACAAGCCUGUCAUCGGUACGGGUUGUGGGAGCAAGAGCCCGGAGAUGGAUUCUGAGACACGAAUCCAGGCCCUACGGGGCGCAGCAGGCGCGAAAACUUUACCAUGCGGGCAACCGUGAUAAGGAAACCCCGAGUGCCAGCACAGGCUGGCUGUCCGCCAGUGUAAAUAACUGGUGAAGAAAGGGCCGGGCAAGACCGGUGCCAGCAGCGG